GAGUUUGAUCGUAGCUCAGAUUGAACGCUGGCGGAAUGCUUUACACAUGCAAGUCGAGCGGCAGCGCGGGGCAACCUGGCGGUCGAGCGGCGAACGGGUGAGUAAUACAUCGGAACGUACCCAGUUGUGGGGGAUAGCCCGGCGAAAGCCGGAUUAAUACCGCAUACGACCUGAGGGUGAAAGCGGGGGAUCGCAAGACCUCGCGCAGUUGGAGCGGCCGAUGGCGGAUUAGCUAGUUGGUGGGGUAAAGGCCUACCAAGGCGACGAUCCGUAGCUGGUCUGAGAGGACGACCAGCCACACUGGAACUGAGACACGGUCCAGACUCCUACGGGAGGCAGCAGUGGGGAAUUUUGGACAAUGGGGGCAACCCUGAUCCAGCCAUUCCGCGUGAGUGAAG
rnacentral:rRNA from 1 species